ACAAAACGCGGGCAAUCAUCUCUUGGCCAUGGCCUGUGUGCGAGACUUUAACAAUUUAAAGAAACAGACUGAUCCCUACGUGUCCCGAAUGGUAUACGAUUCCAGAAUCGGACAAACGAAAGGUCGAGUCAGCUGUUACAUAUGAUUCUUAUACAUCGAAUGCUUUGGAAAUCUGCAGAUUAAAGGAUUCAAGGACUCUAAUGGAUACUAAAGAUUUUCAAGGAUUCUUGUCGAUUCCAGGACGUUUAUUGAGCCAGAUAUAGUCAUUUUAAGUAACAAUUGAAAGUACAUAAUAAUUUUCAUAAAAAUAAAUAAAU